GUAGCUGGGACCACAGGUGCAUGCCACCAUGUUGGGCUAAUUGUUGUAUUUUUUGAAGAGACAAGGUUUCACCACAUUGCCCAGGCUAGCCUCAAAGUCCUGGGCUCAAGCCAUCCACCCACCUCAGCCUCUCAAAGUGCUGAAAGUGCUGGAAUUACAGGCAUGAGCCACCCCACCUGGCCAUCAUUACAUCUAAUCUACACUUGCGGAAUAGUAUCCUAAGAUACCUAUCUCUUGUCUUUAAAAAUCUCGAUUUCAUCCUUUACAUUGCUGCCAGAAUUGUAUUUUUAAAAGGUAAAGCUGAUUAUGUUCCCACUUUAAAUGUUCCAAUAAAUAAACCAUGCAUGUAGGAUAAAUUUCAAGCCCUUGGCAUAGCAUACUUAGUUUUCUGUAGUCUAUACUUGGUCCAAAAGGCAAUAAAUGUACCAGCCCUCUUUCCUGUGGAAAUCAGCCCUACCUCCCUGGCUACAAAUUGGUCUAACACAAAACUCAUCAUACCUUUUCAUGUUGAUGGGUCCAAGGAGUUGGUGUAUGACCCAACAUGGAUCUAUCAGAGUCCUCUCCUAAAAGUUUCAAACUCUAGUUGGGAAAAGAGUAUUCCUUUCAUCUCUGUUCAUACAGUUAAGAAACUUGAGUCCAAAACUGAGGUCUGUUUAAAAAAAUCUCUCUUCUACAUUCCUCUUGUGCAAUAUUAGAAAAAAGAGUAGAGUAAGAUACUCUACAGAUAAGAGUAAAAAUGAGAAGUGGAUACCAUCCUGCCAUUUAAGUCCCUGGCCACAGCUGUCCCUAAGCCAGUUUCCAUUUACCCUAACCCACUCUGGUUUUCCAUCUUGUGAUAUGAUCCAGUGAAUUUCCUGUUUUAGCUUAGACUACUGUAUUACGGUAUUGCCACUGUAACUAAAAAAAUUUCAAUUAAUGCAAAUUUACAUUUCUCUCUCUCCCUUUAGUUCUUUCUGUCACCUCUCUGAAGACCUGGUUCAUAUCUGCAGCUGCAACUCUAUCCCUGAACUCAUCUUUGAAACUACCCAGAGAUAGACUGUCAAGAGCUUCAGAGCUUUACAACAGGAUCUUCCAAGUGCCCUGAGAGGUCAUGAUGGAGCCAAUAGAAAUAAAUCAUACAAAACAAAGCCAGAACCUGGUGGGAGGGAUGCUUACAAAACAACAUAAACGAGAAGUUGUCUGAAAAAAAAUUGUAUGGAAGGAAGAAGAGAUGAGAUAAGGGAAAUGAACUCAUAAUAGCCCCAGUUAAAAUACUUACAGUAAAAUAUCAUUAGUACUACUUGAUGUUGGUGAAAGGCUCUAGACUCAAGUCAGAAGGCCCAAUUUGUUGCUGUGAUUUCUUGAACAAAUUAUGUAAUUGUGUUGAGAUUCAGUUUUCUUUUCUAUCAUUGGGUAUUAAUAACUUCUAUGUGAUGUCAGAGUUAUGAUGUGAAGUUAAAAUAACUAAUAAAUGGGUAAACCCUGAAAA
ensembl:lncRNA LINC02552 long intergenic non-protein coding RNA 2552